AUCCGUCUGACGAGUCCCAAAUAGGAUGAAACGCGUGUCCUGGAU
rnacentral:hammerhead_ribozyme from 1 species